AUGACAAGAGACCAAAAUCUUAGCUCAAAGCUAAGGAGGACAUGACAAAAGACCAAAAUCUUAGCUCAAAGCUAAGGAGGACAUGACAAAAGACCAAAAUCUUAGCCCAAAGCAAAGGAAGACAUGACAAGAGACCAAAAUCUUAACCCAAAGCAAAGGAAGACAUGACAAAAGACCAAAAUCUUAGCCCAAAGCAAAGGAAGACAUGAC